AUAUGAUGAUGGGGGCAGCUUGCACACAAUCUCUUGAAUCUCUCCCCAAUACUCAGAUAAACUUUCUCCACAUUGUUGCCUAAUCCCAUAAAUAUCUUUUCUUAUUGU